rnacentral:lncRNA from 1 species
UUCUGAUAAUACCUUCGGUGGUAAAAUAAUCAUCUUCUUGUCGUCUAAGGUUCUUGGAAUGAACAUGCAGAGAUUGAGUGCCAUCUUUUGUUUUCUUCUAUUUGUUUCCCAUUCUUUCUUUCAUAGAUCUAAAAAAUCCAAUGGUGAUUCCAUUAGAAAACUGUCAAUUUCAGAAAUCACAACUGAAAACUGUCAAUUUCAGUAUCAAAUUUCACACAAAAGGAAUGAAUCUGAAAAUUAUUCCAAUAAAUUGCAAGAUGUUACAAUCUAGGACUGCUUCAACUAAUCGUAUUUUGUGCUCACAUGAUUAUUCACAGUUAUCAUAAAAACCCAGAUCUCAAUUCAUAAAAAGUUUUGACCUUUGCAAUUAAUCUUUGGCAUAUGAUGGAGAUAGAAGAAAUGAGGUUUAUGAAAAGUAGAUUAAUAGAUGGCCUAUUAAUUAUUUGGGAUGUUGUUGUCGUUAUUGUUGUUUUUCUUGUUGGCGGCGGCCAUGAACGGUGGUUAUGUGUGCGUCUGAAUUGAGUGAGGAGGAAGAAGAUCUUCGGCUUUCUAUUUUUUUUUUAAGUUCUGGAAAAAAAAAACUAACUUAACCUGGCUAAACCAGUUUCCAGUUGCAUUGUUUGUAAAAAGUGGUGACGUGGUCCAAUAGUGAAGAGAGUGUUCAACGGAGAGUGACCAAACAAUUGUCCUCAGCAUUGUCAUAUAUAUAAACAAAC